AUUGAACGCUGGCGGCAGGCCUAACACAUGCAAGUCGAACGAGUGGCGGACGGGUGAGUAAUGCUUGGGAAUCUAGCUUGUGGAGGGGGAUAACUACGGGAAACUGUCGCUAAUACCGCGUUCUCAGGGGUGACCACAUGUGGGAUUAGGUAGUUGGUGGGGUAAAGGCUCACCAAGCCGACGAUCUCUAGCUGGUCUGAGAGGAUGACCAGCCACACUGGGACUGAGACACGGCCCAGACUCCUACGGGAGGCAGCAGUGGGGAAUAUUGCGCAAUGGGGGCAACCUGACGCAGCCAUGCCGCGUGAAUGAAGAAGGCCUUCGGGUUGUAAAGUUCUUUCGGUAGCGAGGCGUUAACUACAGAAGAAGCACCGGCUAACUCCGUGCCAGCAGCCGCGGUAAUAC
rnacentral:rRNA from 1 species